UCCUAGUCCUUACUGCUCUUCUGCCUUGGAACUGAUGUAUUGAUUCCAAGACAGAAGGGAAAGGUUUUUUCAAAAUUAGAAAGAUAUAUUUCUAUUAUAAUAUCCAAGAUUUAGAACUGGAAGAAGUUCCAGAGGUUGCUUCACAGAGGAGGAAAAAUGGUGACAUGGCCAAGGUCACACAGAAAGUACAUGGCUGAGUCAGGAUUCAAACUCAGGUUUUCUGACUCCUGAUUCCUCUUCCUAACCUGUGUUCUCCAUAUGUCUGAUUUUGAGUGUUGUGUUAUUUCUAAAAGCUCUAACCAAGCACAGUAAAUUAAGGAAAACCAAGUAUUUGGCUAGACAAACUAAGUCAAGAAGCAUUGGUUACAAGGAAGUUUUGCUGAAUACAAGCCUAUCUUUUCAGAUGGGCAAAUGAAUGAGACACUUUGUAUCAUGACACCAUCACGCUGAAGGGCCCCCAUCACCAAGAUAACAGUAGCACACCAAGUUCUCUUUUCAAACACUUGGGUAGACUCAUUUGUUUUUCCUUAGUGGUCACUGUAGCCUUUCUGUUUCUUCACUUUCUAGGACAAGGCUUUGGAGUAUCCAAGCUCUGCUCCCUGCCCCCUCCUCCUCCACCCUGGGAGGAAAGGGAGGUGCCCCUCGUGAGGGGCAUUUCUGCAGCCUGGGUUAUCCAACCUCCCAUCCCUGCCCCAGCUCUUCAUCCUGGAAGGGGCACCAAGGGCAGAAUGGAUAAAUCACCCAACUGCGUCAGAGGACUUAGAUUCCAGGAGGGAGAGCUAGAGAUGACUCCAGAGAUGAUGAAAUAAAGAGGCCACAAAGUUCAUGGGAAGUGUCCAACUUUGAAUCACCAGACACCUGGGUCUCAGUCCAGGCUUACGCUUCCCAUCUACGUGACUGUGGGCAACUCACUCAACCGAACCUCAGUUUUAUCUUCUUUAAAAUGGGGAGAAGACCACUUGGAGAGCCUACCUCCUAAGAGUGGGAUGAGGACACUGAGGCUGAAGAGGAUGAAGUGUAACUUGGUGCAUUAAGGACCAAGACAGGAGUCUCUGGUUCCAUGAAAGUUGACCUGACUGAGGAUAGUGGGGAACUGAGAUCUCCAAAGACUUUCCGGUGGCCACACAGGCUGAUCUAUGGCCAAGGCAAGAUAUGGCUCACCCCCAUGCCAAGCCCAGCCCUCCGGAGAGAGGGUAGGAAGGCAGCUAAGCAGGAGAGAAUAAAGGUUAUUUUGUAUGGAGUCCUUUACAUCCAUUAUUUUAUUAUUUGUCCCAGCAUGCUUAUAGAGUAGCUAUU